GAAAUGCGAUAAGUAGUGUGAAUUGCAGAAUUCAGUGAAUCAUCGAAUCUUUGAACGCACAUUGCGCCCCUUGAUAUUCCAUGGGGCAUGCCUGUUCGAGCGUCAUUUGUACCCUCAAGCUCUGCUUGGUGUUGGGUGUUUGUCCCGUCUCCGCGCGUGGACUCGCCCCAAAGUGAUUGGCAGCCGGCGUACUGGUCCCGGAGCGCAGCACAUGUCGCGCAAACGAGUGCCUUGGUACGGCGGCGUCCAUAAGCCCCUCUCUCACGCUCUUGACCUCGGAUCAGGUAGGGAUACCCGCUGAACUUAAGC
rnacentral:misc_RNA from 1 species